rnacentral:lncRNA from 1 species
AGGUAACAGGGCCGAGUUCAUCCACAGCCACCUGCAGUGUUAGAAUCUUAAGCUGAGUUCCUUGCACCAGGAUGCUGUCACGCCCAGUCAGUGUGAGAAGGUUCUUGGCUGAAGGACUGAAAACUGGUUCCCCUCACCAAGGCUGAGCAAGUGAAAAGGAGGGCACAGGGCAGGCCAGUAGUGAGCAGCAACCCAUGCCAUGCAAUGAAAUGGCAGUCUGAGGCAUGGAGCAGCUCCAGCUUAGCCCGUGCUUAGGGUAAUUAUGGCUCCAACCCAGGAGACAAAUACGACUAGGGAAAGUGAAGUCCAAGAACAAAUGGUCUCAAGUUGACUGUGAGUCUUCUGGGAGGCUGAGACGACAGGUGGGGUUGACAAGGGAAGGGGAACCCACCUGCUGAAAAACAUCAGGCUGUUGGCUGGAGGAGGGGUGAGGCCUGUGUUGUAGAGAUGGAUGGAUGCCUAAAGUUGGGUAAAGGUUUCAACUCUACCCUCUGCUGG